rnacentral:lncRNA from 1 species
CACAGGCAGAGGGAGAAGCAGGCUCCAUGAAGGGAGCCUGAGAUGGGACUCCAUCUGGGGUCUCCAGGAUCACACCCUGGGCUGAAGGUGGUGCUAAACCGCUGCGCCACCCGAGCUGACCAAGUUUUCAUAUUUAAAUAGUCACAGACAUUUAGGCAGUACAAGACCCCAUAUUUUCUAAUUUUCUACCUCCAUGCAAUUUUUAUUUCCUUAAGGCUUUUAAUAAAUACAAGUAAAAAUCUGUAAUGUGGUUUAUGAAUAAAAAGGUCUCUUCCUGUACUUUUUAAAAACCAUCAAAACAAGGUAUUAUAAAAACACCAAUUUAAAAUAACUAGCCUCAACGUAAUUACAAGUGAUCCACUUUCCACUCUCCUAUGAAAUUAGACCAGCUUUGUUUCUGCAGAAUGUUGAUGGCCCAAAUCUGUCCAUCAGCCAGCUAUUUAAUACAUGUGGCAACAAACAAAUGCUUUGCCCAUCUUAGAAUGAUCUGGACUUCCUCAUAGUGCAGCACUUUAGAGAGACCAUUUGUCUUGGGUAGUUUCUAAGGAAUCAGGAAAAAUACAGACCCUGGAGUUGAAUGGCCCUAGGUUCAAUCCCAGUGCUGUUACUUGCUGGGGCAUGACUUUCAGCAAGUUAUGUAAUAAGCUCUCUAAGACUUGACAUCCUCAACUGUGCGAGAGCGCUCAGACCAAUUGUUCAUUGUUCGAUUCAUCCACAAAGUGACUAUCCUGAGCCAGGUAAAAACGGUGGACAGGACAGGUGUGUCUGUCCUCAGCGAGGGAGAGAGAUACUAAUUUCAAACAUAUAAUGAGUACAAACGAUAAAAUACCAUAAGGGGCCUAGAGCUGGAGUGGAGAGAGCUGGAUUUAUCAACCCUGGACUCAGGGUAGAUAAAUUCUUGAGUAAUGCCAUUUAAGAUCAGACCUGAGGGACACGUAAGAGUCAGGUGAAGAGUGAGAAGAAGGGCAUUCUAUGGAGAUUAACAGCAUGUGCACUGACUUCAAGCCCCGUGGUUUCCUCCUGCUGCAGUAGGAGAGAGAUGUAAGCUGAUGUUGAAGCUGGGGGGGGGGGGGGGUGUACUCUUAUAGGAACUCUGUAGCCCAGGCUAAGGAAUGCGCCUUUUGUUCUAAAUGCACUGCAAGUCAUUAAAGGGUUUUAAGUAGAUGUGAUAAGAGACUUGUCAGAUUUGGGGGAGGCGGAGGGGAGGAGUGUAACACAGUUGUAAACUUGGCAUUUGAUUGUUGAGAUUUACAUCUCAUCCUCCCCUUAGGUUUCUUAUAAGUCUCUCUCUUGCCUCUCCUGAACCUUUCAAGUUUGAGGAACACAGAGAGUGUUCUGAUAACAAAAUGUUCAAUUUUAAUGGACUAUUUAAGAUACAAUUAUAUAACGUGUGUAUGUACCUGUGUGUAAUGUAUUGUGUGUAUAAAAUUGGGAAGGUAAGCUGGCCUUCAUUCGGCUUCCUUAAAACACUAAUUUCUUCACCUUAUAAAAUU